rnacentral:rRNA from 1 species
GUCGAGAAUUUUUCUCAAUGGGGGAAACCCUGAAGGAGCGACGCCGCGUGGGGGAUGAAGGGCUUCGGCUCGUAAACCCCUGUCAUUUGUGAGCAAGUGUUAUUGUUUAAGAGAUGAUGACAUUGAUAGUAGCAAAAGAGGAAGGGACGGCUAACUCUGUGCCAGCAGCCGCGGUAAUACAGAGGUCCCAAGCGUUGUUCGGAAUCACUGGGCGUAAAGGGUGCGUAGGCGGUAUGGUAAGUCUUGGGUGAAAUCUCCAUGCUUAACGUGCAGGGCGCCUGGGAGACUGACGUGCUAGAGGAUUGGAAGGGAGACUGGAAUUCUUGGAGUAGCAGUUAAAUGCGUAGAUAUCAAGAGGAACACCAGUGGCGAAGGCGAGUCUCUGGACAAGACCUGACGCUGAGGCACGAAGGCCAGGGGAUCAAACGGGAUUAGAUACCCGAGUAGUCC